CCCCUCCCCCUUUAUAUACCAGCAUUAAGUCCCCCCUACUUGGGGUGUAUUCACUCUUUGUCUGUACGUAAGGUGUAAAUGUUAACAUGUAGCAUAAAUCUUAUUAAAAAUGUACUUUAAAGGGACACUCCAGGCACCCAGACCACUUCUGCCCAUUGGAGUAGUCUGGGUGCCAGCUCCCACUACCCUUAACCCUGCAACUGUAAAUAUUGCAGUUUUAAUAAACUGCUAUAUUUACCUUGCAGGGUUAACUCCACCUCUAAUGGUCUAUAGCACAGG